GGAAUGGUGGGCUGAACAAAGACAGCUAUUUAUCAGGGCCAAAAUUUUAUCUUUUUGCACAGGUUGAUUUUCCAUAUCUCUAUUUCCCUAACACAACAAACAGAGUCAAUCUCGCAUGCACGCACAUGCGGCCUGUGUAUUUUAAAGUUACAUUUUGUAUCCAUGCUAUGACAUCAUAAAAGACAUUGCUUGCAGAUAAUAUGUUCUCAUCAAGUU
rnacentral:misc_RNA from 1 species